UACGUAGGGGGCAAGCGUUGUCCGGAAUCAUUGGGCGUAAAGAGCGUGUAGGCGGCUCGGUAAGUCCGCUCUGAAAGCCCGGGGCUCAACCCCGGGAGGCGGGCGGAUACUGUCGGGCUAGAGUCCGGAAGAGGCGAGUGGAAUUCCUGGUGUAGCGGUGAAAUGCGCAGAUAUCAGGAGGAACACCAAUUGCGAAGGCAGCUCGCUGGGACGUUACUGACGCUGAGACGCGAAAGCGUGGGGAGCAAACAGG
rnacentral:rRNA from 1 species